GGAGGACUUUUGGGAUAGCAUUGGAAAUGUAAUUGAGGAAAAUACGUAAUAAAAGAAACAAAAUCAAAGGUAUGCAUCUAGAUUCUGCUAUGUAGAGUUAAUAUUUAAUGAUGUUCCCUAAAGUACCUGCAUCAUUUAGUGUGCCUCACAAGCUUAGCAGUGCUAGUUAAUAAGGUAUGGAAGCAAAGUAGAUUUAAUUUGGGUCUUAAUGGUCUUAGCGUAUUCUUAGAAACCUCGUGACUAGCCAGAAGCAGAUGGCAUUGUUUAGAUACAUCUCUUCCAGCUCACAAAAUAUACCACUGUAUUCUACUUUAAGUUUUCUUGUAAGUUAAUUUGGAAUUAGAUUCCACAAAGAUUUAAUAUCUGGAUGUCAAUUAGUGAACACCAUAAAAAUAAAAUAACACAUUUUCAUGGAGGUAUAGUACAAGAAAACAUGUUUUUACUGUAUAAAUAAAAGCAAAACUUUAAUUAUCACUUUGCAAUAUGCAUAUUUUAUAUUGUUGGGCAAAAGAAUAUUUUAUUUAUUUAUAUAAUCUCCUCCAAAAUAUAUGAUUUGAUGAAUAUCAUUUUGUGAUAUUGCGUUAAAAAUUGCAUAAUCAUUAUCUAUAGACUUCCUCAUUUGCAUGUUAUAGCCCUAAACUACAUUUUGUUUUUCCUUCUGGGGAUUAUUUUUCUCAUGAGCACAGUAAAAUAUAUUUAUCCUCAAGAAUGAAAAGUGCAAUUACUCAUUGAUCUGAGUUGCCAAAUAAAAUAUUAUAUGAAAGCUUUUUUCAUAGAAGAUUAAGUUAGAGAAACUUGGGGUAUAACUUAAGGUGUAUCAGGAGAAGCUGGCUUUUGUCAAUACUUUUCUAAAAAUUGUGCUCCACCUUAGACUAGCAUAGUUCAAAGGAAUAAGCCCGGAAAAUUUCUUAUACAAUAAUUCACAUUUUAAAUAUUUUUCCAAUUUGAAACUUAUAUUUUCCCCUUCUAGACCACUUACUACUUCUGAUUACCUUCUUACUUUCUUCUUUAAUUCCUUCUAUUUUUGCAACAUAGUUAUACACUAUAAUUUCAUUCUUAUAAUUUAGUAAAUUAAUUUGAAAUUAUUCUAAAAUACUCCAUGGCACAUUUGAAUAAUAGUUUGAUUCAAAUUUAACAUUUUAUUAAUCUCCUACUUAGGUUUUCAUUACUCCAUUCUAAAGGCCUAAUAACACUGUUAAGUUUUGGUCAGCACUGCAUCUUUAUCCCCUACAAACCAUCAUGAAAUAAAUGUGAGUGCUAAAAUAAUCACCUACUUCAACUAAUAUAUCUCUUCAUGAAAUGUGAGUAUAAUUUUUUACUUGAGCACUUUUCUAAUUUUUGUAAAUUUUUUUCAUAAUAUACCAUGUUUCCAAAUUGAAACAAUGUGGCUCAAACAUUGAAAACAAUGUCAUCCUUGCAAAGCUUUUAUUUACACAAAGAUACCUACUCAUAUUAUAUUUGUUAUGUAUAUAUGCAUGUGAGAAUAUCUAGCACAUGUCUACUAUAUGUGUGUCUAUUUAGAUAUAAUCAAUUUUAUCGAUCUAUCAUAUGUCUAUCUAUCAUCUAUCUAUCUAUCUAUCUAUCUAUCUAUCUAUCUAUCUAUCUAUCUUUAUCUACUAUAUGUGUGUCUAUUUAGAUAUAAUCUAUUUCUAUCGAUCUAUCAUGUGUCUAUCUAUCUAUCUAUCUAUCUAUCUAUCUAUCUAUCUAUCUAUCUAUCUAUCUUUAUCUACUUUAUGUGUGUCUAUUUAGAUAUAAUCUAUUUCUAUCGAUCUAUCAUGUGUCUAUCUAUCUGUUUAUCUAUCUAUCUAUCUAUCUAUCUAUCCAUCUAUCUUCAUCUACUAUAUGUGUGUCUAUUUAGAUAUAAUCUAUUUCUAUCGAUCUAUCAUGUGUCUAUCUAUCUAUCUAUCUAUCUAUCUAUCUAUCUAUCUAUCUCUUUCUAUCUAUCUGAUGCAAAUGUUGAUGCUCUAGGACUCCAACUAUAACAUCUUACUUGGGAAAUACCUCAAAUAAGCAAUGGUUAUUGUCUCAAAAUGUGUAUAAUUGUUGUUUCCAAUUCUUUAAUACCUUUGUUACCAGGAACUAAAUCUGAUAGGAAUCAAAGGACAGUUGACCUAGCAUAUUAAGUUGGCUAAUAGGAGAUAUCCUUCAGCUCCUUCAGUUCUUUUCUCUUCCAUUGGGGUCUCUGAGCUUAGUACAGUGGUUGAAUGACAGAUCAUGUCUUAGGUGCUGACAGAACCUCUCAGGGGACAGCUAUACCAGGCUUUUGUCUGCAAGCACUUCUUGGCAUCAGCAAGAGUGUUAGGGUUCGGUGUCUGCAGAUGGGAUGGAUCCCAAGGUGGGGAGGCUUCUGGAUAGCCUUUCCUUUAGUCUCUGCUUCAUUUUUCCCUCUUUAGAAAGGGACAAUUCUGGAUUAAAAUGUUUGAGAUGAGUGAGUGGCUCCUUCCCUUAACUGGGAACCAUGACAAUCUACUGGGGUGUGGUCUCUUCAGGUUCUAUCUCCUCUCUGUUGGUUAUUUUGAGAAAUGUCAUCCCCAUUGGGUCCUGGGAGCCUCUCACAUCACUGGCAUCUGAGACUUUCUAGUGGUCCCCCUCCAACUGCUAUUUAUUUCUAUUCAGUCCCCUGGCCCUCUGGACUUCUCUCCUGUCUCUUCCCAUAUCUGAUCCUCCCCUCUUUUAUCCAUCCUCUCACUUCCUUCAUCUAGCUCCCUCCCUGGCUCUACUUUCUGUGAUUAUUUCGUUCCCCUUUCUAAGUGGGAUUUCAUCAUUCACACUUUAACCUUCCUUCUUAUUAAGCUUUAUAAGAUCUGUGACUUAUAUUGGGGGUACUCAGACCUUUUGGGCUAAUAUUCACUUAUCAGUGAGAACAUACCAUGUAUGUCCUAUUGGGUAUGGGUUACCUCACUCAGGAUGGUAUUUAGAACUUAAAAUUAGUUACCAAGGACAGUUGUUUGGUACCUGCACUAAGAUUACAGUUCAAAUUCUGAAUUUUAUGGACGGUAUUUUUUUUUUUUUGACUAGACUCUAUAGUGAGAAUUUAGGAAUGAUAUAAUUUAAUUAUUUUUGUUUACUUCUACAUAAUACACUAUGAUAUGAAACGAUGGCCUUUAGAGAGCUUUUGACAGUUUCAUCAGACAUUUUUCAUGAUAGCAUGGUGAAUCUUUCUUUGGAUCAAACUAAAUGGAGAGAAACUUGAAGCAAUCCUACUAAAAUCAGGGACAAUACAAGGAUGCCCACUCUCUCCCUAUUUAUUCAAUAUAGUACUCAAAGUUCUAGCCAGAGCAAUUAGACAACAAAAGGAAGUCAAAGAGAUACAAAUUGGAAAGGAAGAAAUCAAGGUAUCACAAUUUGCAGAUGAUAUGAUAGUAUACAUAAGCGAUCCAGAAAUUCUACCAAAGAAUUCCUUACACAUGAUAAACAACUUCAGCAAAGUGGCUGGAUAUAAAAUUAACUCUAACAAAUCAGUACCUUUCUUGUACACAAAGAAUAAAUGGGCUGAGAGAGAAGUUAGGGAAACGACACCCUUCACAAUAGUCACAAAUAAUGUAAAAUAUCUUGGUGUGACUCUAACCAAGCAAGUGAAAGAUCUAUAUGACAAGAACUUCAAAUCUCUGAAGAAAGAAAUCGAAGAAGACCUCAGAAGAUGGAAAGACCUCUCAUGUUCAUGCUCACAGAUCAGCAGAAUUAAUAUACUAAAAAUGGCCAUCUUAGCAAACAGUCCACAGAUUCAAUGCAAUCCCUAUCAAUAUUUGAAUUCAAUUCUUCACAGGGUUAGCAGCUUUAGAACUUUAGAACUUUCAAAUUCAACUGGAAUAACAAAAAAGAAAGAAAGAAAGAAAGAAAGAAAGAAAGAAAGAAAGAAAGAAAGAAAGGAAGGAAGGAAGGAAAGAAAAGAAGAGAAAAG
rnacentral:lncRNA from 1 species